rnacentral:rRNA from 1 species
AGAAUGAACGCUGGCGGCGUGCUUUACACAUGCAAGUCGAGCGAGGCGGCCCGCAAGGGUCAGUCGAGCGGCGAACGGGUGAGUAACGCGUGGAUAACCUGCCCUGAGGUGUGGAACAACCAGGGGAAACUCUGGCUAAUACCGCAUGAUACCGAGAGGUCAAAGGGGGCUCGCAAGAGCUCUCGCCACAGGGAGGGUCCGCGUUCGAUUAGCUAGUUGGUAGGUAAUGGCCUACCAAGGCGACGAUCGAUAGCCGGCCUGAGAGGUGAUCGGCCACACUGGAACUGAGACACGGUCCAGACUCCGUACGGGAGGCAGCGAGUGGGAAUUUGCGACAAUGGGCUAACGCCUGACGCAGCAACGCCGCGUGGAGGAUAGAAGGUCCUUGGAUUAGUAAACUCCUGUCAGACGAAGGAAAAGCAACCGUGACCGUACA